rnacentral:misc_RNA from 1 species
AAUGUCGUAAGCAAGGUUUCCGUAGGGUAUGUUUCAAUUUUUCCGAAAGGGAAUCCAGCUAAUCAAUCCACGAGGUGAACCUGCGGAAGGAUCAUUACCAGAGUUUUGCCGAACAGGGUAACCUCCCUACCCUUGGACCAUCCGACGUGCUUCGGACGAGACGUUGCAACAGCCGUUGGCGGAAGAUCCAAUUCUGCCGGCGGCGGGACUCGCCAGGAGAUUUCAACUUCCAAAAUUUUGUAACUGGUCAGAUAAACAAGCCAACUGGAAAAAAC